rnacentral:rRNA from 1 species
CUACGGGGGGGCACCAGUGGGGAAUAUUGGACAAUGGGCGAAAGCCUGAUCCAGCAAUGUCGCGUGGAUGAUGAAGGCGCUAUGCGUUGUAAGGUCCUUUUGUCGGGGAAGAUAAUGACGGUACCCGAAGAAUAAGCACCGACUAACUAUGUGCCAGCAGUCGCGGUAAUACAUAGGGUGCUAGCGUUGCUCGGAAUUACUGGGCGUAAAGAACAUGUAGGAGGACUCGAAAGUCAAGAGUGUAAUCCCUGGGCUCAACUCAGGAACUGCUUUUGAUACUUCGAGUCUAGAGUGAGAUAGGGGAUAGUGGAAUUCUUAGUGUAGGGGUGAAAUCCGUAGAUAUUAAGAGGAAUACCGAAAGCGAAGGCAGCUGUCUGGGUCUCUACUGACUCUGAGAUGUGAAAGCGUGGGGAGCAAACAGGAUUAGAUACCCUCGUAGUC